UUUAGUUGUGGAUGACCAUUUCCAUUCAGGGUAAGUCUGAUGUACAAACAAGUCAUUUUAAAUAAUUCAUUUGUGUUUGCUUAUCUCAAUUUCUAUAUUAUUGCUUUGCACUUAGAAAUGAAUUACAUUUGGAAUAUUUCUAGAAUUCUAAUAAGAAGUGCAUGAUUUUAUCAUCUAUAUCAAAGUCUAUGCAGCCAUGUAUAUCUAGUGAUGUACAUUCUAUAUGUAAUCAAAUUAUGGCCGACUCUUUUAAAAAGAGUAUCAUUGUAUUGCAGAAAAAAUCCCAACCAAGUCCGGCUAGCAGACUGUACACCAGAUUGAAGAUACAUCAUUAAUACAAGAUGAAAAAAAUUAAUGGAGGACGAGGAUAAUACUAUGAAAGAGAUCAUAUGCAAGAGCAACCGUUCCCAUAGAAAUACAUGCAGCCAUGUAAACAGAAACCAGUUUUCACCUGCCAGGUGCUGGUCACAUAUAUAUUCAACUUGGAAGUUCAACAGAUUCAAGAAACAGAUCCAGUUGUUUGCUGAUAAAUUACUGCAGGUCAUUGGUAUCAUCUAGAACCAGGACUGUUUUAAAAAUCAUACUAGUAUGUUUGGAACAAAAUCAUGCUAGUAUAUGUUAGGAAUUUAACCUAAACAUGCUUUAAUUAUGAAGGUUUUGGUCAAAUUUUGGUUUACAAAAUAAUGUUUUUCAAACUUUCUAUUCAAAUUUAGCAAGAACAUUAGACACACAUGUAAUCCCAAAUGCUUUUAUGUCAGAUUAUUGCUUUAUUUAAAAAACUUGCAUAUAGGGUCUGUAAUGAUUUGAGAUAAUUAUGUAAACAAUAAAAUGCUUUUUUGGUGACAUAUGCGGGAUAUGAAUGUAGCGACAUUGCAGAAAAAAUACAUUACCCGCAUUAGCGAGUUAUGUAAAUUUUUUCUGCAAUCAUUGCUCCCUUCAUUACCUGCAUGAAUCGUCAAAGAAAGUUAUAUUGUUUAUAUUUACAUCUUUCUUUUAACAAAUUAAUAAAUUGUUUGUAAAGAGUAAGUUAAAUUUACUAUAUUAUUUUUAAUGUGCAUCAGUACGUUAGCUAAAAGAAACAGCCAAAUUGUCUUCAAUGGGAAUGUGAGUCUGCAUUGAUAUCCUGAUUAUUUCAAUGAUUUUUCUAAGGUCAUUAUAGGUUUCGACCAAUCGUUAAACAAGGCGUUAACUAUAAGUUUCCAUAAGAAAUGGAGGAAAGCAUACUCAUUAGAUGUAAAUAUAAUUCAGUAAACAUAUUGAUUAACAUAAACAUUGACUUGUGUUCUUCUGCUCACAUGAACAGAUAUGAUUUUAAAUUCCUAUUCAAGAGCAAAAACAAUUUGAUGAAAAGUUUAUGUCAACAUUAGGGACUUUUUUUUCAUCAGUAUAACACCUGUACAUGUACCUGGGGUUUUUUUUUAUCUGAAGUUUAUGAUACAGAUAGAUAUUUUUUGCCUACAUCUGUAAUUUUUCUGUGUAACUUUUCUGUACCUAAAUGAUAACUUUUUUGUACCUACAUCUAUAACUUUUCUGUACCUAAACAAUAACUUUUCUGUAACUUUAUGUAUAACUUUUCUGUACCUACAUCUAUAACUUUUCUGUACCUAAAUGAUAACUUUUCUGUAACUAUAUGUAUAACUUUUCUGUACCUACAUCUAUAACUUUUCUGUACCUAAAUGAUAACUUUUCUGUAACUAUAUAUGUAUAACUUUUCUGUACCUACAUCUAUAACUUUUUUGUACCUAAAUGAUAACUUUUCUGUAACUAUAUGUAUAACUUUUCUGUAACUAUAUGUAUAACUUUUCUGUACCUACGUGUAUAACUUUUCUGUACCUAAAUGAUAACUUUUCUGUAACUAUACGUAUAACUUUUCUGUACCUAAAUGAUAACUUUUCUGUAACUAUAUGUAUAACUUUCCUGUACCUACAUCUAUAACUUUUCUGUACCUAAAUGAUAACUUUUCUAUACCUAUAUGUAUAACUUUUUUGUACCUAAAUGAUAACUUUUCUGUAACUUUAAUUUGUAACUUUUUUGUACCUAAAUGAUAACUUUAUUAUAACUUUUUGAUAACUUUUUUAUACCUAUUUAUUUUUAUGAAAAAAAUAAAUUGUCAAUAGUUACACUCUAGUUAUGACUUUUUUGUACUUAAGCAAAAAGUUACAAUAUAGGUAUAACUUUUUGAUGCUAAUUUGGAACCAUAAUUGAUCAGAUGGUUCCAAAUUGUGCUAACUUAGUUAUGACUUUUUUGUAACUUUUUUAAGGGCUCAUAGGUAUAACUUUUUAGUGCUUUUUUUUUGUAUGGGAGAUAUUA